UUGUAAUUUGUAGAAGGUGCUUCGGGCGAGGCGACGACCCAAGUCCCAUGGAAUUGGGUACCGUGGAGGGUGAAAGUCCCGUAAAGUCGGCCGCCGAUCCCAUGUGAAGCCCUUUCGACGAGUCGAGUUGUUUGGGAAUGCAGCUCAAAUUGGGUGGUAAAUUUCAUCUAAAGCUAAAUACCUGCCAGAGACCGAUAGCGCACAAGUAGAGUGAUCGAAAGAUGAAAAGCACUUUGAAAAGAGAGUCAAACAGCACGUGAAAUUGUUGAAAAGGAAGCGCCUGCAGCCAGACUCGCCCGCGGGUGUUCAGCCGUCCUACGGGGCGGUGCACUCAUCCGCGACCGGGCCAGCAUCGGUUUCGGCGGCCGGAUAAAGAUUUCGGGAACGUAGCUCCCUCCGGGAGUGUAUAGCCCGAGGUGCAAUGCGACCUGCCGGGACCGAGGACCGCGCUUUUGCUAGGAUGCUGGCGUAAUGGCUGCCGGCGACCCGUCUUGAAACACGGACCAAGGAGUCGACCAACCGCGCGAGUGUUUGGGCGUAAAACCCAUGCGCGUAAUGAAAGUGAAUUCGGGUGGGAGCCUCCGGGCGCACCAUCGACCGAUCCUGAUGUCUUCGGAUGGAUUUGAGUACGAGCACUGUUGGUCGGACCCGAAAGAUGGUGAUCUAUGCGUGAAUAGAGUGAAGCCAGAGG
rnacentral:rRNA from 1 species